ACACGCAUGACACACUGCAUAUCAAUAAGCGGAGGAAAAGAAACUAACAAGGAUUCCCCUAGUAACGGCGAGUGAAGCGAGAAGAGCUCAAAUUUGAAAUCUUAAAGGAUUUCCCUUUACGAAUUGUAGUUUAAAGAAGUGUUUUCUGUUGGAGUUUCGGUAAAAGUUCUUUGGAAUAGGACAUCAUAGAGGGUGAGAAUCCCGUAUUUGACCGUUACUUUCCAGCUGUGUGAUACACUCUCAAAGAGUCGGAUUGUUUGGGAAUGCAGUCCAAAAUGGGUGGUAAAUUUCAUCUAAAGCUAAAUAUUGGCGAGAGACCGAUAGCGAACAAGUACCGUGAGGGAAAGAUGAAAAGAACUUUGAAAAGAGAGUUAAACAGUACGUGAAAUUGUCAAAAGGGAAGCGUUUGACACCAGUGUUGUUUAGUUGAAAAUCAAUUCAAUAAUUUUUGAUUCUAAGUAGUAUUGACUUCAUCAGCUUGCUGCUUUCUUCUCAGAAAAUUAUUGAAUGCACUUUUCAGUUAACAAGUCAACAUCAAUUUCUUUUGUUGUAAAAGGGUAAGAGGAAGGUGGCUUGCGCUUCGGCUCAAGUGUUUAUAGCCUUUUAUCUCUGCAAUCGGAGAGAUUGAGGUCUGCAGCGUAGAUCCUUCGGGGUUAGAUACAUUUGUGCUAAGCUAUAGCCUUGUAUAGACAACUUGUUGACUAUGUUCAGUCAUGUAGCUUACUCGCAUGAUGCUAUUUUACCUACGCUUAGGAUGUUGAAGACUCUACAGAGAUA
rnacentral:rRNA from 1 species